GUCCCCUUCGUCUAGUGGUUUCAGGACACCGCCCUUUCACGGCGGUAACAGGGGUUCGAGUCCCCUAGGGGACGCCA
rnacentral:tRNA from 1 species